UAUGAAGAACGUAGUGAAAUGCGAUAAGUAAUGUGAAUUGCAGAAUUCAGUGAAUCAUCGAAUCUUUGAACGCACAUUGCGCCCGCCAGUAUUCUGGCGGGCAUGCCUGUCUGAGCGUCAUUUCAACCCUCAUGCCCCUAGGGCGUGGUGUUGGGGAUCGGCCAAAGCCCGCGAGGGACGGCCGGCCCCUAAAUCUAGUGGCGGACCCGUCGUGGCCUCCUCUGCGAAGUAGUGAUAUUCCGCAUCGGAGAGCGAUGAGCCCCUGCCGUUAAACCCCCAACUUUCCAAGGUUGACCUCAGAUCAGGUAGGAAUACCCGCUGAACUUAAGCAUAUCAAUAAGCGGAGGA
rnacentral:misc_RNA from 1 species